rnacentral:rRNA from 1 species
AGAGUUUGAUCCUGGCUCAGAACGAACGCUGGUGGCGUGUUUUAUACAUGCAAGUCGAGCGAGGACAAUAGCUUGCUAUUGAGCCGAGCGGCGAACGGGUGAGUAACGCGUAAGCAAUCUGCCCCAUAGUCGGGAAUAACCGCGCUAACGUGCGGCUAAUGCCGGAUAUUGUGUCCUACCGCAUGGUAGGUUGACGAAAGAUUUAUCGCUAUGGGAUGAGCUUGCGUCCGAUUAGCUAGUUGGUAGGGUAAUGGCCUACCAAGGCAGUGAUCGGUAGCCGACCUGAGAGGGUGAUCGGCCACAUUGGGAUUGAGAUACGGCCCAGACUCCUACGGGAGGCAGCAGUAAAGAAUAUUGCGCAAUGGGGGGAACCCUGACGCAGCAACGCCACGUGUGGGAAGAAGCAUUUCGGUGUGUAAACCACUGUCGAAAAGGAAUAAUAGAAGAUUUCGGUCUUUUUGAAUGUACUUUUAAUAGGAAGCACCGGCAAACUUCGUGCCAGCAGCCGCGGUAAUACGAGGGGUGCAAGCGUUGUUCGGAAUUACUGGGCGUAAAGGGAGCGUAGGCGGAGCUUCAAGCAAUCUGUAUAAUCCUGGGGCCCAACCCCAGUCCUGCAGAUUGGACUGUAGCUCUUGAAUAGUUCAGAGGCAAGCGGAAUACCUGGUGUAGCGGUGGAAUGCGUAGAUAUCAGGUAGAACACCAAUGGCGAAGGCAGCUUGCUGGGGACUUAUUGACGCUGAGGCUCGAAAGUGUGGGUAGCAAACAGGAUUAGAUACCCUGGUAGUCCACACGGUAAACGAUGCAUACUGGGCGUCCGGAUUUAAUUCGGGUGCCGCAGCUAACGCGUUAAGUAUGCCGCCUGGGGAGUACGUACGCAAGUAUGAAACUCAAAGGAAUUGACGGGGGCCCGCACAAGCGGUGGAGCAUGU